CUGAUGCCUGCAUGAUGAAAUUAAUGUGGCCAUGUGUCCUAGCGCUAGACAACUACACAAUAGCAUCGAUCUAUUCAGACCAAACUAUUAGAACACUUCAGAAAAAAUCCAUUCAGACCAAACUAAUGCCCACAGCUAAACCCGACACGACAUUCACUCCACAAAACCCCACAGCUGACCCCAACUCACCCCGACUCUCUCUCUGACUCCCUCGCUGUGCGACUCUCACUCUGACUCACUCCACAGCUGCCCCGACUCACUCCACAAUCCUAAACCCUAAAUCCACCACCUCCAAAGCGAAGCCUUCGAAGCCCUAAAUGGGAGAUUUCCCUUCGAAGCCCUAAAGGAGAUUUCUCUGUGAAUCCGUGGAUUCACAUCGGAGCAGCCUUAGACUUGGAUUCACACAGGAGCCCUAAAAAAUUUCGUCAUCUCGAACUUCGAUUCACGCCUUUGAUUCGAUUUGUCUCGAACUUGGGUUCUGAUAUUCAUAAGCAGAUCUUAAAAUUGUGCACUCUAGUCACCGAAGUUUAACAGAGACUCGGAUCUCCAUCUCCGACCAUGGAUUCCGAGCCUUUCGAGAGAGAAAAGAACGUGACUUUUCUGGGGAUGAUGUACCGGCUCCUCCCACACCAAUCCGAAAAAGCUUCAUCAUCAUCUUCUUCUUCUUCCUUUGAAGGUCCUCGUUCUACUGAGGGCCUCUCUGCCGCUUUGUCCGAUCAGUCUCGUAUUAUAGUCGCCAGACCUGUUAGAGGAGUGGUGUCCCUGUGGACAUGCUCAAAGUUCUGUGCAAUUGCCUUUGUUGCUGGGAUCAUUGUUGGCUAUACCCUGAAGCGACGCGUUAAACGCUGGGCUAACAAGCUUCUCAAGAGGAUCAAAGACGAUUGAUUGCACCUAGGUUGAGUUAAGUUAUCGCAUUCAAUAGAUUGUCGUCAAUAGAUGAGUGAUUCUCUAACAUUAGUUGUGUAAAGGGUGCAUUUUUGAGGAGUUUUCAGCUUCUGUGGUGACAAAUGCAUCUCACCUUAUCAACAGAUAUUGUUAUCCUUUUUAAACUACUAUGGUAAAGUUUUAGAGAACAGCAUAGGCUAUCCUUUUUAUCCUUUUUAAACUACUAUGAGAGAUCUUUAGUCUCUCAGUCAAUGAAGUUGCGGAUUCUUCAAUGUUGGAUUUUUCUAAUCUGAUUGAAAUCUUGUGUUUGUUUUGCAGUUUUUUGUUGGUGGAAACUGGAAGU